UACAGAGGGCGCAAGCGUUAUUCGGAUUCACUGGGCAUAAAGAGCACGUAGGCGGCUACGUAAGUCGGAUGUGAAAUCCCGCGGCUCAACCGCGGAAUGGCAUCCGAUACUGCGUGGCUCGAGGUCGGAAGGGGUAAGUGGAACUCCAGGUGGAACGGUGAAAUGUGUAGAUAUCUGGAGGAACACCGGUGGCGAAGGCGGCUUACUGGUCCGAAUCUGACGCUGAGGUGCGAAAGCUAGGGGAGCGAACGGG
rnacentral:rRNA from 1 species